rnacentral:lncRNA from 1 species
AUGUCUGCUUCUUCCUCACAAAAGAGCAGAAUAUCUAAACCUACCUCAAAAAUGUUGUCCUUCUGGCAAGAUAAACUAGAUUCCUUGAAACCUAAAUAUCAGAAGUCAUGGCAGAGAAUUUUAGAUAUGAGUCAAGCAAGCCAUCGCUUUAGGCAGCAGAAAGAAAUAUUAGAUUGUAAGGAAAGAUUACAACAUCAAUACUGUGAGUGGAUAACAUAUUCAGAUAAUAUAAUCUCUUUGCUUGAACAUAUGAAAACAUCAGAAUCUUUAAGUAAUAAGGAAGAAAUGUUGUCAGAGAGAGAGAGAAGGGAACUAGAAUUUGAUACCAUCAUGAAUGAUUUAUCUAACAAAAUAUCAGAAGGUCAGGCAGAAGAAGACCCUGCCUCCCUUAUGGAAACUGUUGAUGAAGAACAAGUGCAACACAUGUUUAGUAAAGACACAGAUACAAAGUCAAACAGGUCUGUGUGUACAUUAGCAGGCAAAUCAAGAUCAUCUCACACAUCCCAUAGAACAGAAAGAACAAGAGGGACUUCUGUUCAUAGUGGUUCUUCUGGCCAAUCCCUUAGUCUGGUCAUAAAGGCUAGGGCCGAGGCAGCUGCCGCAGUAAAACAAAUAGAGUUUCUUAAGAAAAGACAGCAAAUUGUUGCAGAGAAGGCAGAACUGGAUGCCUUGGCCGCUGCCAAGAAGGCAGAAAUGGAAGCCGCAGCCGCUGCCAAGAAGGCAGAAAUGGAAGCCGCAGCUGCCGCUGAGCAGGCAGCAGCCGCUGCCAAGCAUGCAGGUAUGGAUGCAGAAAAUAAGGCCCGUCAAGUUAAAACAGAAGCUGCUCUAGCAACGUUAGCACAGGUUGCAAAGGCUGAGGUGUUACAAGUAAAGGCCUCAGUCCUAGAGCAAGGUCUCUUAGGAAAUACAUUCCCUCCAGAUGUUACAACAGAAGAUCCUGUCACAAAAGUGGAUUCUUAUUUAAAUACCCAAAUUAUCAAUAUUGCAGCCCCUCCUGUGCUAACAAGAGAAAGUGCAGUAGCAAAUAAUUCUUUUGUAUCACAACCAGAAAUUAUAGAGGUUUCUGCACCCAAAGAACAUUAUUUGCCGUAUGCAGAAGUAGCAAGUCAAGCAGCAGUUCCAUUGCAUGAUAUAUCUCAAACCAAGUUAGAGCACAGUUUUCCAGUAGACACACAGGACUCAACACAGUCAAACUACACAAUGCCAACAACUGCAUUCAGUCUCAAUCCCAAAGCAGCUAGUUGGGUUCCAGAAAACCCCCAGAUCCAAACUAACUCUGAACCAACUUUGCAACAGUCCUCAGUCCCACUUGAUAUUUUAAAUUAUACCUCCUACAGAAACCCAAGAAGGGACUUAGCAGACAGAGGCAUUCAGAAAUUCUCUGAUAAGCCAGAGGAUUAUAUGUUGUGGAAGAAUACAUUUCAGUCAGCUCUCAAGCAACUAAAAUUGCCUGUAGAGGAAGAGUUAAAUUUAUUGAUCGCUUGGUUGGGACCUGCUUCUUCCAUACAGGUGAAGAGAAUUUAUGCAGCAAACAUAAAUAACCCACAUGCAGCCUUAAAUCGAGUGUGGGACCGUCUCAAUGAACGUUAUGGAUCAUCUGCACAGAUAGAAACGUUGCUUCUGCAAAAGCUUAAAUCGUUUCCUGCAUUUACAAAAGGGGAAUAUGAGAAAUUAUGGGAUUAUGCAGAUUUGCUUGAAGAAUUGGAGGCAGCUAAGGGAAAUCCAGAUUUACCAGGGCUUGCAUGUUUAGAUCAAUAUUUAACACAACAAGAGAUUAUUGAUAAACUGCCUUUCUCACUGAAGGAGGUAUGGGGCCGGGAAGUUUUCUCUUAUAAAGAAACUCAUCAACGGAAAUACCCACCAUUUACACAUUUAGUGAAGUUUCUCUUAAGAUCAGCUAGAGAGAAGAAUGAUUUGCAAACGGGGUUUCCUCUUUUAUAUCAAAGUAAUAAAAAGGAUAAGAAACAUUUCAUAGAAACCAAAAGCAAACCACAAGUCACAGUUAGAAAAACUGAAACCAAGGUCAAAUCAGUUGAACAUCACACAAAGACAUCAGCAGGAGUAAUAUGUCCAGUACACCAAAUAGCACAUGAUCUGAAUAACUGCAAAGAAUUCAGGAGCAAACCUUAUGAAGAGCGUUUAACCUUUGCCAGAGAUCAAAGACUUUGUUUUAAAUGUGGUACUUUUAGAAACCACAUAGCCAAGGAGUGCAGGAGAAAAGUGAAAUGUCAAGAAUGCUUUAGUGAAAAACACUGCUCUGCACUACAUCGCGAAACAACACCUCAUCAGAAAGGAAAGAACUCUGAAAAGUCAGAAUGUAUUCUUGUGGAAACACCACAACCUAAGGAGAUUAAGAUAGCAACAUCAACUUGCACAGCUUUGUGUGGAGAAGCAGGAAAAGAACGAACAUGUCAUCCUAUUUGCUUGGUAGAUGUCUACCCUGAAAACUCUCCAGAUCAAGUUAAACGCAUGUACGUUGCCUUAGAUUCUCAAAGUGACACCUCCCUAGCAACACCUGAAUUCUUUAACAUCUUUCAAAUUCAAUCAAAAGAGGUAGAAUACGUUAUGACUACUUGUGGUGGAGAUCAGGUCAUGGUGGGGAGAGUAGCAUCUGGAUUCAUCCUCCGGACUAUUGAUGGCAUGAAACAAUUUAGGUUACCAACGUUCAUAGAAUGCCAAAAUAUACCUAAAGAUGAAAGACAAAUCCCUACAAGAGAAAUAGCUAUGAGUCAUGCACACCUAAGAUCCAUGGCACAUAAGUUACCAAGAUUCGACCCUGGCGCAAAGAUUCUUUUGCUUAUUGGUAUAGACUGUCCAGACUUGUUUUCAGUUAAAAAGCAAAUAAAAGGUCGACCAGGAGCACCAAUAGCUCAAGAACUAGAGAUAGGCUGGACUAUCCUAGGUCCAGUAUGUUUAAACCGCAAAAGGUUGCCUUCUCAUGCUCGAACCUUUUGCACAGGCUUCAUGCCAAGUGGACGUCUUCUCUUAUAG